ACUGGAAAGAGUAGAAAGGAUUGGAAACAGCAAAUUUGUCAAUGUUUUUCCUCUCUGCCGCGUCGCUGCUGCUUUAGAUUAGCCCUGUCCCCUGCAAUUUGACAGUAGCGCCGUGAACCUGCAGCGUGAGGAUCCCGGGCUAAGAUAGGGAGAAAGGAGGAGGAAUUCAGGGAAUGUUUUCCCUUGGAGCAAGCGGGGAAGCGCAGCCGCUGGGACCCGGGCUGCGGUGACAGCGCUAACACUUCCCAGAGCCGGGGACCCCGCCGCUGGAAUGGCAUUGCCCACCCUGAAAGUGAGAAGGCUUGAAGUGUCCAAGAUCAAAGAGAGGAAAAGCAUUUGCUGCUGGGAAGUGAGGCACACAUCUUUCCUCCCUUGCAAUAAGCUCAUUAAUCUGGCAUGGCAGUGGCUGAUCUGGGGACAUCACACCUUCAAAUGCACUUCAAAUAUCUGGAAGGCCUGUGGUGCUACUGGACGAGGAGCUGAUCCUACGUGGACCUAUGUGAGGACAGCUAAGAGGAUUGGGAUCUUCCCAGUAAUUCCUGCAAAUAAUAAAAUAUCCCACAAAAAUGCUGGAAAAUAUGAAAAGGUCAAUGAAGCAGGGGAAAAGAGCGAUCCAAUGCUUUUUGUGUUGUGUUUUUUUUUCCUUCCCUUUAGGAACAAUGCAUUAUCUGAAAAUCCCACUUUAUAGCUUGGAAUUUGUUUUUGUGUUGGUGACUUUCAGUCACUGAAUAAAGUGCGACCACAGAAAUCGGACA
rnacentral:lncRNA from 1 species